rnacentral:tRNA from 1 species
GCGAGAGUGGCGGAAUGGCAGACGCGCUACUUUGAGGGGGUAGUAUCCAACCGGAUGUGCGGGUUCAAGUCCCGCCUCUCGCACCA